ACGGGUGAGUAACGCGUGGGAACGUGCCCUUCGGUUCGGAAUAACUCAGGGAAACUUGAGCUAAUACCGGAUACGCCCUUUUGGGGAAAGGCUUGACUGCCGAAGGAUCGGCCCGCGUCUGAUUAGCUUGUUGGUGAGGUUAUGGCUCACCAAGGCGACGAUCAGUAGCUGGUCUGAGAGGAUGAUCAGCCACACUGGGACUGAGACACGGCCCAGACUCCUACGGGAGGCAGCAGUGGGGAAUAUUGGACAAUGGGGGCAACCCUGAUCCAGCCAUGCCGCGUGAGUGAUGACGGCCUUAGGGUUGUAAAGCUCUUUUCUCCGGGACGAUAAUGACGGUACCGGAGGAAUAAGCCCCGGCUAACUUAGUGCCAGCAGCCGCGGUAAUACGAAGGGGGCUAGCGUUGCUCGGAAUCACUGGGCGUAAAGGGCGCGUAGGCGGCUGAUUUAGUCGAGGGUGAAAGCCCGUGGCUCAACCACGGAAUGGCCUUCGAUACUGGUUGGCUUGAGACCGGAAGAGGACAGCGGAACUGCGAGU
rnacentral:rRNA from 1 species